rnacentral:rRNA from 1 species
AUUGAACGCUGACGGCAUGCCUUACACAUGCAAGUCGAACGGUAACGGGCCUUCGGGUGCCGACGAGUGGCGAACGGGUGAGUAAUGUAUCGGAACGUACCUUUCAGUGGGGGAUAACGUAGCGAAAGUUACGCUAAUACCGCAUAUUCUGUGUGCAGGAAAGCAGGGGAUCGCAAGACCUUGCGCUGAUUGAGCGGCCGAUAUCAGAUUAGCUAGUUGGUGAGGUAAAGGCUCACCAAGGCGACGAUCUGUAGCGGGUCUGAGAGGAUGAUCCACCACACUGGAACUGAGACACGGUCCAGACUCCUACGGGAGGCAGCAGUGGGGAAUUUUGGACAAUGGGGGCAACCCUGAUCCAGCCAUGCCGCGUGAGUGAAGAAGGCCUUCGGGUUGUAAAGCUCUUUCGGCCGGGAAGAAAUCGUAUGGGUUAAUACCCUGUGCGGAUGACGGUACCGGCAUAAGAAGCACCGGCUAACUACGUGCCAGCCGCCGCAGUAAAAC